CAUGUGGUGGCCGGCUGGAGAGGACAAGGAUGCCUGUGGCCAGCAAUGCCAGCAGUCAGAAAUCUCCUGCCUGAGCCAUGGAAGUUCCUUUGGACCUGGCUAGUUAGGCAAAGCUUCGCUUCUCCAUGGAAAGCUGUAAAAGAACCCCUUCUGGUUCUGAGCCAUAGCAGGGGCAGGAAGGCAGGAGAGCCCCCUCUGCUCUCUGCCCCCAAGAAGCAGCAGCCUCAUUUCCAGAAGUUUUGCUGUGAGAAAUAGCACUCAGCAGGCAACGGAGGGUGGGUGAGAGGGGAUUGGGCUGGGAGAUAGCAUGUGCAUCCCUUAGGAGACCCUCCCCAUGCCCCAGUAAGGCACUGAAGCAA